rnacentral:rRNA from 1 species
UACGUAGGGGGCUAGCGUUGUCCGGAUUUAUUGGGCGUAAAGAGCGUGUAGGCGGCCAGGUAGGUCUGCUGUGAAAACUCGAGGCUUAACCUCGAGAUGUCGGUGGAAACCAUCUGGCUAGAGUCCGGAAGAGGAGAGUGGAAUUCCUGGUGUAGCGGUGAAAUGCGCAGAUAUCAGGAAGAACACCCGUGGCGAAGGCGGCUCUCUGGGACGGUACUGACGCUGAGACGCGAAAGCGUGGGGAGCGAACAGG